GACGAACGCUGGCGGCGUGCUUAACACAUGCAAGUCGAACGGAAAGGCCCUGCUUUUGUGGGGUGCUCGAGUGGCGAACGGGUGAGUAACACGUGAGUAACCUGCCCUUGACUUUGGGAUAACUUCAGGAAACUGGGGCUAAUACCGGAUAGGAGCUCCUGCUGCAUGGUGGGGGUUGGAAAGUUUCGGCGGUUGGGGAUGGACUCGCGGCUUAUCAGCUUGUUGGUGGGGUAGUGGCUUACCAAGGCUUUGACGGGUAGCCGGCCUGAGAGGGUGACCGGCCACCUUGGGACUGAGAUACCGCCCCGACUCCUACGGGGGGCAGCAGUGGGGAAUAUUGCACAAUGGGCGGAAGCCUGAUGCAGCAACGCCGCGUGCGGGAUUACGGCCUUCGGGUUGUAAACCGCUUUCGCCUGGGACGAAGCGUGAGUGACGGGAAUGGGUAAAGGAGCACCGGCUUACUACGUG
rnacentral:rRNA from 1 species